GCUUACGAGGUGUUGCUGUGGUCAUGUGUCCCUUUGCAGCGGUAAAAACCCUAAGAUAGUGCUCCUCACUCAGACUCCGUCAGCCUAAAAUUCACCUCUUUCGAUUGCAGGAACUUUCUUUAAUAAUUUCUUUGUAUCCAUUUUCUCAAUUCUGUGGCCCUGGAAUGUUCUGUUAUUCGAACCCUGAACUUGUAGACGUUCUCUUCUCAGCUUCUUUUUUUCUUUGAACUUGCUCGGUGUCUUUCUGGGUGCUGCGUAGGCCCCCAAUAGUGGGCUUUCAUGCCUAACUCCAGAUCCUUCUGUUCUGUUUUUUUCAGAAAGAAAACUAGUCUUCUGUUGAGCUGCUGCUGCUGCUGGUGGCGGUGGUCGAGGGCCAGGCUUAGCCAAGGAUGACCUUUCUUAAUGAUGCUUUGUACCAUCAAGAAGCACCGAGCCUUAAGGAAGUGCCUCUCCUCUUAAUAUGAAAAGGCUUUUGAAGACUGCAGAGGCUGGGAAGACUGGAGCUGGUGGGAGUUCCUAAUUGAUAAUAUACCCCACAGGACACUUGUCUUUUUAAGGAUAGCAUUUCAGCAGCUAUCACCAGGGAGUGGUGGUGGAUGAUUUCGGAAGAGAAACCAAUGCCUUUAAAACUCUGAGUACUUAACAGUUGUAAAAUCAUGCCAUAGGCAGAAGAGAUGGCACACUCCUCUAGAUACAUCAUCACCCUGAAGUCUGAGGCAGGGCGGGUCUAAGUUGGAGGUCAGUCUAAGGAACACAGCAAGCCUGAAGCCAGCCUGAGCCAUGCAGAUCCUGCCUCAUAAACAAAAACAAGCAGGACAACAACAAAUGCACACAAAACUAAAAAAAAAAUUAUAAAGCAAAAAGGAGAGAAAUUAUUUGUUCAUAUGUCUCUUUUUGUACUUGCUCACUCAAGGGGGUAAUUAAUGUGUGGAGGCAGACAUCCAUGGCUCUGGGGUGAUCAACACAAGUUCGAAGCUAACCUGGGCUACAGGAAGUUCUAGAACUAUUAGUGGGCAGAGCAAGACCUUGUCUGAAUAGAUGAUAGACAGAUAGCUGAUAGAUAUACAUGAUUGAUAGAUGAUGAUGAUAGAUAGAUGAUAGAUGAUAGACAGAUGGCCUGGAGAGAUGGCUUUCAGUGGACAAAUGCAUUUGCUGAGAAAGCCUGAUGAUUUGGGUUCACUCCUCAUAAUCCAUAUGGUGGAAGAAAAAUGACUCCCAUAAG
rnacentral:lncRNA from 1 species